UACGAAGGGGGCUAGCGUUGCCCGGAAUUACUGGGCGUAAAGGGCGCGUAGGCGGACAUUUAAGUCAGAGGUGAGAGCCCAGGGCUCAACCUUGGAAUUGCCUUUGAUACUGGAUGUCUUGAGUUCGGGAGAGGUGAGUGGAAUGCCGAGUGUAGAGGUGAAAUUCGUAGAUAUUCGGCGGAACACCAGUGGCGAAGGCGACUCACUGGCCCGACACUGACGCUGAGGCGCGAAAGCGUGGGGAGCAAACAGG
rnacentral:rRNA from 1 species